rnacentral:rRNA from 1 species
AUAGCGUAUAUUAAAGUUGUUGCGGUUAAAAAGCUCGUAGUUGAAUCUCAGUUCAAGUUAAGGGGUCCACUUGUUAGUGGUUACUUCUUAACUGGACAUUUUACUGAGCCGUCUCUUGAUGCUCUUCACCGAGUGUCAUGAGCGAUCAGUACGUUUACUUUGAAAAAAUUAGAGUGCUCAAAGCAGGCGUUAAGCCCGAAUAAUCUCGCAUGGAAUAAUUGAAUAGGACCUCGGUUCUAUUUUGUUGGUCUUCGGAACCUGAGGUAAUGAUUAAGAGGGACAGACGGGGGCAUUCGUAUUGCGGCGCUAGAGGUGAAAUUCUUGGACCGUCGCAAGACGAACUACAG